GGUUGUAGCUCAGCGGCAGAGUGCUUGCCUAGAAUGUGCAGGGCCCUGGGUUCGACCCUCAGUACCA
rnacentral:tRNA from 1 species